GGCCUGGUGGUGUAGUUGGAACAUGUUCUUUUCACUUUCCCUUUAGAUCAAUCAGAGAAAGUCCCUUGUUCGAAUCAAGGUCAGGCUA